rnacentral:rRNA from 1 species
AACGAACGCUGGCGGCAGGCCUAACACAUGCAAGUCGAGCGAGGACUUCGGUCCUAGCGGCGGACGGGUGAGUAACGCGUGGGAACGUGCCCUUUGCUUCGGAAUAGCCCUGGGAAACUGGGAGUAAUACCGGAUGAGCCCUUUGGCGGAAAGAUUUAUCGGCGAAGGUUCGGCACGCGUUGGAUUAGGUAGGUUGUAGGGUAAUGGCCUACCAAGCCGACGAUCCAUAGCUGGUUUGAGUAGAUGAUCAGCCACUCUGGGACUGCGACACAGCCCAUAGUCACGCAGGAUGCAGCAGUGGGUAGACUUAGACAAUGGGGGAAAUGAUGAACGAGCCAUGCCGCGUGAGCGAUGGAAGCCUUAGAGUUGUAAAGCUCUUUCAGCUGGGAAGAUAAUGACGGUACCAGCAGAAGAAGCCACGGCUAACUCGGUG